rnacentral:rRNA from 1 species
CAGACCUCUAAUCGGAAAAGACUACCCGCUGAGUUUAAGCAUAUCACUAAGCGGAGGAA